AGUACGGGGGUGUGGUUGGCUAAUUAGUCCAAGACUUUUUAAGCAGGCACUGGGCAAGAGGCCUUGAAAUGUGGGCCUUGUUUUGAAAGCACAUGGGAUGGUGCUGCUUUGUUUGGCUAUGUGGUGAAUUUGCCCCAGAUGAGAUGCAGAUGAAUUGAGUAAUGCUAACUGGGUGUUUUUGACACUCUGAUCUGGAUAAAUGUUCAAAAAACCAACUGAUUGUUAUAUCUGCUAUUUGCCAAUGAAGUGUUUUAGAUGUGGAUAAAACCUGGAAUGCUGAUUGGCUGCUUUUUGGGUAGCUGAUAAAGGUAAAGUUGUGUUUUUGGUAUCCUACUUUUAAGCUAAUAAAUGAAAUGGGGCAGUUGGUAACGGUGUUUAAGAAAAUGUUAAUGUUUGAAUAAAAUAAAUGAUGUAUUGUUAAUUUUUGUUUGUUUUUUCUGUUUUAGUUAAGUCGAUUGCUGUUUCUCCCGUGUUGUUUUUGUUUAGUUCCCUGGUCGGCCGGUCUCAGAAGUGUGCUGCAUGGUGGCAGCAAGUGUACAUUGUGAACUGUUUGUGUACGAGUCCGGUUGGCUGGGGUUCUGUUAUCUUUUUUUUCUUUUUGUUUCUUUUUUAUUGAUGACCAUCUUCCCAGCCUUAUGUCAUUAGCUCGACCCGUGCUUGUAUUCUGUGUGUGUAUCCCUUUGGGGUAUGGGAUCCAUGUUUGCUGUGGUUUUCUUUGAAGUUAUGAGUGAAGGGUUAUGUUUUGAGUUGUUUUCUAUUUGAAUUGUGGUGUUUAUUUCCAUUUUUUGGUUCUUUCUUUUUACUGUCAUCAAGAAAUUGAUGUUUCCUAAUACCUUGAAGGUUUUCCACACACAACAGAACCAGCUACUAUAGAGAGCUUUGAGCUGGUGGUUAACAUCUUUAAGAGCUGAGAUUAAUUUUGUAUUAAUUUAUUUAAAUAAAUCAUUUCAUGUCUGUUUAAUUGUGUACAUUAUUUUUGCCCUAUCAUUUGUAAUAAACCUUUUUUGUUGUACUUUGAGUAGUCCAAAGGGUUUUGACUUUGUGCCUGUGCAUUAAACAAGGUAUUCUCUUUCAACUAAUUUUGAAGGGGUGGCGUAGUGCUACAAUUUGGCGUAGUCGGCAGG